CUACUACUCCCUCCGUCCGAAAAUACCUUUCAUUGAAAUGGAUGUAUCUAGAUGUAUUUUAGUUCUAGACACAUCCAUUUUGAUGACAAGUAAUUCCAGACGGAGGGAGUAUUAU
rfam:Triticum aestivum genome assembly, contig: Triticum_aestivum_CS42_TGACv1_scaffold_235326_3B